rnacentral:sRNA from 1 species
UUGACAGCUGUGGAGGCUGAAGACCUUUAUUUAUCCACAGAACAGAUAGUGGAUAAACAGCAGCAAAGAAAGUUUCUGCAGCUCGACAAGGAGCCUCACGCCUGUUCUGCAGGGACCGUGCCUGGGUGCUGGCUAGCAGUGCUGCUCUCCGUGCCACUUCUGCCACUGGCUCAU